UCUCCCCCACUCUGUAACCACGUGUCUCCAGCCUGAACAUGCGCAGUGCCUGCCAGGCCCCGCCUCACCUUCCCGCCUCUUCGCAGGUCCUGGCAGCUUUAUAGCAACCCCCACCCACCGCCACCUCCCGCACCUUCCACAAACCCAUUUUCACCUUCACGCCGCACCGACAUAUCACGAUAAUCAUUACCGCUGCCAUCUCCAGCUGAUUUGACAGCGAUUCAUUUUUACACAAAACCGGCAUUUUUACACAAAAGCGGGGCCGUCCAGGACCCGCGGCGGCGCGAGGCAGGGCCCAAGAUGGUGGCGGCGCUGAGGGGCCACACCAAGAUGGCGGCAGCGGCAGCAGCCUAAGGAACGACCGGAGCUCCCUGCGACUCCUCCGCCCCUUUUUGGGGGCUCCCCCCCGGCUUUGGGGGUAUCAGGGCAGAGCGCGGAGAUGGCGGAGGAGAAGAAGCUGAAGCUGAGCCACACACUGCUGCCCGCCAAAUCCAUGAAGGUGAUGGCGAAGGUGGCGGGGGGUCCCUGAGGAGACGUGCCAGCUGCUGGCGGAGGAGGCGAGCUACCACCUCAAGGAGGUGGCACAGGAAGAGCAGCCAAGCUGCAGGAUGAAGUUGGCAGAUUAAAAUAGAAGAACAAAGACCCACAGGAUGAGGGGGUCUCUGGG